GAUGAACGCUAGCGGCAGGCUUAAUACAUGCAAGUCGAGGGGCAGCAGGUCUGUAGCAAUACAGAUGCUGGCGACCGGCAAACGGGUGCGUAACACGUACGCAACCUUCCCGUUACUGGGGAAUAGCCCAGGGAAACUUGGAUUAAUACCCCAUAUUAUAUUGGUUGGGCAUCCGACUGAUAUCAAAGUUUUAACGGUAACGGAUGGGCGUGCGGUUGAUUAGGUAGUUGGCGGGGUAACGGCCCACCAAGCCUACGAUCAAUAGCUGAUGUGAGAGCAUGAUCAGCCACACGGGCACUGAGACACGGGCCCGACUCCUACGGGAGGCAGCAGUAAGGAAUAUUGGGCAAUGGACGCAAGUCUGACCCAGCCAUGCCGCGUGAAGGAUGAAGGUCCUCUGGAUUGUAAACUUCUUUUAUCUGGGGCGAAAAUCGGGUGUUCUUAUCCGCUUGACAGUACCAGAGGAAUAAGCACCGGCUAACUCCGUGCCAGCAGCCGCAGUAAAAC
rnacentral:rRNA from 1 species